UGCAGAGCACGUGUGGAUGAUGCGCUGCUGCCUCCUCCAGCCGCGGCACAGCCAGCCGGGAGCAUGGGGCAGGUGGCUUGGAAAGGUUUAUUUCUAUCCCUGUUCGAUUAUAAAACGGAGAAGUACGUCAUUGCGAAGAACAAGAAGGUGGGGAUUCUCUACCGAGUGGUGCAGCUCUCCAUCCUGGCGUACCUGGUGGGGUGGGUGUUUAUUGUCAAGAAAGGCUAUCAGGACACAGACACAUCCCUCCAGAGCUCUGUCAUCACCAAGCUGAAAGGGGUGGCCUUCACCAACACCUCAGAGCUGGGGGAGAGGCUGUGGGAUGUUGCAGACUACGUCAUCCCUCCACAGGGUGAAAACGUCUUCUUUGUCAUGACGAAUCUGAUUGUGACCCCCAACCAGAGGCAAGCCACCUGUCCUGAGGUAGGAAGAACUGAGCCCCUUGGCCCCCAGACCCCUACAAAACCAGGGGUAAGAACUGGCAGAGGACACCUGGGGAGCAACGGCCACAGGAAGGAUGGAUGGAAGAGUGCCAGCAUUCCUGAUGCCCUGUGUUACAAGGACGAGGACUGCCCGGCAGGAGCAGCAGUGGUGGCUGGCAAUGGGGUUAAGACUGGCCGUUGUCUCAAAGACAAGGACAGCAUCAAAGGGACUUGUGAGAUACUGGCCUGGUGCCCUGUGGAGAAAAGAUCCAAGCCCAAGAAACCACUUCUUGCCAAUGCAGAGAACUUCACUGUUUACAUCAAGAAUUCAAUCUCCUUCCCCAAGUUUAAGUUCUCCAAGGUCAACGUGCUGUCAACUGACAACGAGUCUUACCUGAAGAGCUGCCGCUACAGCAGGGAGCAUCCCUACUGCCCCAUCUUCAUACUGGGGAACGUUGUCCAGUGGGCUGGGAGUGACUUCCAGGAGAUGGCCCUGGAGGGUGGUGUGAUAGGAAUUCAGAUUGAAUGGAACUGUGAUCUUGAUAGAGCCCCUUCUGAAUGUAAUCCUCACUAUUCUUUUAGCCGGCUGGACAACCAGUUUGCAGAAAAGUCCAUCUCUUCUGGGUACAACUUCAGGUUUGCCAAGUAUUACCAGGAUGCUGAGGGGGUCGACUACCGGACGCUCAUUAAAGCCUACGGGAUCCGCUUUGAUGUGAUGGUGAAUGGGAAGGCGGGGAAGUUUAACAUCAUUCCCACCAUCAUCAACAUCGGGUCGGGACUGGCUCUGAUGGGGGCGGGAGCUUUCUUUUGUGACCUGGUGCUGCUGUAUCUGAUUAAAAAGAGCAACUUUUAUCGAGGCAAAAAGUACGAGGAAGUAAAGUCGAGUUCCAGGAAUUCAUUGUCCAGCCCAACCCUGAACAGGAAUCAGAGCCCUGACCAGCCUGGGGGGCUCUAAGCCCAGGGCUGGGUCUGCCAGCUGGACUCCUGUUCCAGGAAAACCACACAGGUGUGAAAUCACACCCAGACUGGGAGGUGGAGAUUCCCCAGAUCAGAUCUACUGUCCAUUACCAGGAUCCCCAGAGGAAAAAAAACCCAACAAGUCCUUUAAAGAACACCCUUCUCUCCCCAAGAUGUUCUCUGGCAUCCUGAGCUUGCAACAGUGUCGUCAGGAUGGAUUUUAUAAAAGGAUUUUAUAAAAGGAACAUGAAGGCACCAAAAUAAUGUUUUUAUACCUAUUGAUUGCUAUCUCUGUCCCUCCAUCCACAGCCAGCAUUCCCUGUGCUUUGCUUCCCUGUGCCAAGGGGCUGUGACCUGGAACACCAGGGGCUGAGGCUGGGAUUCCACCUGUCUCCUGCUCCACUGGCUCAUGGCCCUGCUUCCAGCUCUCCCUGUGUGACACCCCAGAUGUGAUAUGAAGCAGCAGGACUGCUCCUGUUGGGAAGUGCAAUGAAAUAUGCAGCAUUCCAGCAGCUCCCAGGGGAAAGGGGAUGAUUAUCCUGCAAGGACAGGCCCGUGCUGGCUGGGGCUGAGCUGGCACAGGGGCAGUUACUCUUAUUGCAGGGUGUGUGUGACCACUAGGGCCAGUGAUGGGGCUCCUCCAGGAAAAGCCUUCACAGCAGCUGCAACAAGAUGCUCUGCUCCUCUCAGGAACAGCAGGAGAAGGUCCUGCAGCAGCUGGGAAUGGAGGAUCAAGCCAUGUCCCAGCCCCCCACCUGCCCUCUCCAUGCCUGGCUGGCCCAGAGAAGCAGCAUCUCAGAGCACAGAGCAGAGACCCCUGGAAGCCCAACCCUGCCCUGCCCAGGGACAGGAGCUGCCACCAGGCUCAGCAGGGGGCUCAGGACAGAGCUGGCAGGCUGCAGGACACUGCCCUUCCUUCUUGGCUGCUUCAUGGGACACAACGGUACCAAACCUGAGCAAAGUGACUUGUGAGAGCAGUAACCUGUGUGUGUGUGUGUGUGUGUGUGUGUGUGUGUGUGUGUGCGCGCCAGGGACCAGCAUCUGUGUCCAGGUCACUUAUUGACAGUGUGUACAUGGAGCAAUUGUAGGACGUGACACUGGCAACUUCAUUAUAUUCUGUACCAACCCUUGACAUGCACCCAAUUACAGGCUCCUGGGCAGUA